rnacentral:rRNA from 1 species
UACGAAGGGGGCUAGCGUUGCUCGGAAUCACUGGGCGUAAAGCGCACGUAGGCGGCUUGUUAAGUCAGGGGUGAAAUCCUGGAGCUCAACUCCAGAACUGCCUUUGAUACUGGCAAGCUUGGAGUCCGGGAGAGGGAUGCAGAAUUCCAGGUGUAGCGGUGAAAUGCGUAGAUAUCUGGAGGAAUACCGGUGGCGAAGGCGGCAUCCUGGACCGGCAUUGACGCUGAUGAGCGAAAGCUAGGGGAGCAAACGGG